GGCUCGCGCAGGGGCGCUCACGUUUUGUGGCUGAGCCGUAUCUUGCUGGUGGGACCGAGAGCAAGAAGGACGGGGGGCAACCAUGCAAUGGUACUUCUCGACCGUGUCUCCGAGGGACAGUUGAACGAGCGACUCAGCGACUCAUGAAUGCUGCCGGGUUGGACGAGCCAAUAACUCGAACGCGUUCGGUCUGUUUUUUGAGCAAGAAUCACAGCGUUACCUUACCUUCACCAUGAUACGGACUCCAAGUUAUUAUGGCAGAGCGCGAGGAGAUUUAUCAUCAAUAUGAUGAUGGGAAUGGAAACCAGAAGCACGACCGACCGGGGUCUUCGUGGUCCAAUAUAAGAAAACCUUCAGUAAAAGUAGUAACGUAAGCAUGAGACUUUUUGGUAGUACCGGUGAACCAGAUGGCCGCGGCGAUGGAAUCUGGGACGGAGGACUCGUAGUAUCUCUCUAGAUCUGGCAAAAGCUAAAUACCCAUAACGUAACGUAAUUCGAAUGGGGGGCUGACCGCUGAGCCCACUCUGGCCUCGCGGGGCGGGCCCCUGUGGUUUCGAGCUGGAGCUGCCAUAGCUUAUGGCUAGAGCAAUGGGAGGGGGCCCCGGCAUAGAGAACAGUAAGGAUAACGAGCGCUCCGCCCGCUUCCGCUUGGCGGGCGGCAGGAGCAGCGGGCAAGUGCUUGGUAGGCCAACAGCCCAGUGAACCGGGCGGGGCACUCGACGAAAGGGGGGCACACUGAGCAAGUACGAUAAAUUUGCCCCGCUCCGCUUAUUAAAAGCAAGGACCACUACGGGAGGUCAAACCUGAAGCUUGGACCUACGGAAGUCGGGGCUCGUCCCCGGUC